CAAUCAUAUUUCUACCAUGCCUACAAAUAAAAGUAAGAAUUUUUUAAAGCCAACUUCCUACGCUGGUGGGUGGUCAUCGGCAACAGUAGUUUUCACUUCAAAAAAAAUAGACAGGUAAACGCAGUUUACAAUUGAGAAAUUGUUUUAUAGUUGUUAUAUGCAGGAUUAAUAACUCAAUGGAAGAGCUGCUAGCAAAAAGCAGUGAAGCAGUUUUUCUUACAGGAAUUCAUCGGGGAACUUUGGUACGAAGACAAAUUAUUUAAAUUAUUUAAGGUAAACUAUGUUAAUCGACAAUCAUAUCCACGUAUUCGGAUAUAAGAUAUCACUUUUUACGAGAUGCAUUCAAAAAUGAAAAAUAUAACAAGAAAACUUACCAAUAGGAAAAAUUGUUGAAGUUUUUCUUAAGAAGCCUCUUUCUCAUACAUAUGUAUAUUAUUCGAAUCAAUUUUCUUCAUUCUUGUUUUAUAUUUCAUUUGAAAAUAAAAUUUAUUUAAUUCUUUGAAAA